GGGCGUAAGAGCUCGUAGGCGGUUUGUCGCGUCUGCUGUGAAAACUGGAGGCUCAACCUCCAGCCUGCAGUGGGUACGGGCAGACUAGAGUGCGGUAGGGGAGAUUGGAAUUCCUGGUGUAGCGGUGGAAUGCGCAGAUAUCAGGAGGAACACCGAUGGCGAAGGCAGAUCUCUGGGCCGUAACUGACGCUGAGGAGCGAAAGCGUGGGGAGCGAACAGGAUUAGAUACCCUGGUAGUCCACGCCGUAAACGUUGGGAACUAGAUGUGGGGACCAUUCCACGGUCUCCGUGUCGCAGCUAACGCAUUAAGUUCCCCGCCUGGGGAGUACGGCCGCAAGGCUAAAACUCAAAGGAAUUGACGGGGGCCCGCACAAGCGGCGGAGCAUGCGGAUUAAUUCGAUGCAACGCGAAGAACCUUACCAAGGCUUGACAUAUACGAGAACGGGCCAGAAAUGGUCAACUCUUUGGACACUCGUAAACAGGUGGUGCAUGGUUGUCGUCAGCUCGUGUCGUGAGAUGUUGGGUUAAGUCCCGCAACGAGCGCAACCCUCGUUCUAUGUUGCCAGCACGUUAUGGUGGGAACUCAUAGGAGACUGCCGGGGUCAACUCGGAGGAAGGUGGGGGAUGACGUCAAAUCAUCAUGCCCCUUAUGUCUUGGGCUUUCACGCAUGCUACAAUGGCCGGUACAAAGGGCUGCAAUACCGUAAGGUGGAGCGAAUCCCAAAAAGCCGGUCUCAGUUCGGAUUGAGGUCUGCAACUCGACCUCAUGAAGUCGGAGUCGCUAGUAAUCGUGAAUCAGCAACGUCACGGUGAAUACGUUCCCCGGCCUUGUACACACCGCCCGUC
rnacentral:rRNA from 1 species